rnacentral:rRNA from 1 species
AGACGUGAAUACCCGCUGAACUUAAGCAUAUCACUAA